AUUGAACGCUAGCGGGAUGCUAACACAUGCAAGUCGAACGAGUGGCGGACGGGUGAGUAAUAUAUCGGAACCUGCCUAGUAGCGGGGGAUAACUACUGGAAACAGUGCUAUACCGCAUACCAUCGGAGCGGCCGAUAUGGGAUUAGCUAGUUGGUGGGGUAAAGGCUCACCAAGGCAACGAUCCCUAGCUGGUUUGAGAGGACGACCAGCCACACUGGGACUGAGACACGGUCCAGACUCCUACGGGAGGCAGCAGUGGGGAAUAUUGGACAAUGGGGGAAACCCUGAUGCAGCCAUGCCGCGUGUAUGAAGAAGGCUUCGGGUUGUAAAGUACUUUUGGCAGAGAGGCGUUAUCUGCAGAAUAAGCACCGGCUAACUACGUGCCAGCAGCCGCGGUAAUUC
rnacentral:rRNA from 1 species